rnacentral:rRNA from 1 species
GACGAACGCUGGCGGCGUGCUUAACACAUGCAAGUCGAACGAUGAGGCCUAGCUUGCUGGGUAGAUUAGUGGCGAACGGGUGAGUAAUACGUGAGUGACCUACCUUUAACUCUGGGAUAAGCCCGGGAAACUGGGUCUAAUACCGGAUACGAGCCAUCUCCGCAGGGGUGGUUGGUGAGAAGCGUUGUGUUGGGGUUAGAGAUGGGCUCACGGCCUAUCAGCUUGUUGGUGGGGUAACGGCGCACCAAGGCGGCGACGGGUAGCCGGCCUGAGAGGGUGACCGGCCACACUGGGACUGAGACACGGCCCAGACUCCUACGGGAGGCAGCAGUGGGGAAUAUUGCACAAUGGGCGCAAGCCUGAUGCAGCGACGCCGCGUGAGGGAUGACGGCCUUCGGGUUGUAAACCCCUGUUGGCAGGGAAGAAGCGAGAGUGACGGUACCUGCAGAGAAAGCGCCGGCUAACUACGUG